rnacentral:rRNA from 1 species
CUGGUAGAUGAUGGACUUAUGGCGCAUUAGCUUGUUGGUAGGGUAACGGCCUACCAAGGCGACGAUGCGUAGCCGACCUGAGAGGGUGACCGGCCACACUGGGACUGAGACACGGCCCAGACUCCUACGGGAGGCAGCAGUAGGGAAUUUUCGGCAAUGGGGGAAACCCUGACCGAGCAACGCCGCGUGAAGGAAGAAGUAAUUCGUUAUGUAAACUUCUGUCAUAGAGGAAGAACGGUGGAUAUAGGGAAUGAUAUCCAAGUGACGGUACUCUAUAAGAAAGCCACGGCUAACUACGUGCCAGCAGCCGCGGUAAUACGUAGGUGGCGAGCGUUAUCCGGAAUUAUUGGGCGUAAAGAGGGAGCAGGCGGCACUAAGGGUCUGUGGUGAAAGAUCGAAGCUUAACUUCGGUAAGCCAUGGAAACCGUAGAGCUAGAGUGUGUGAGAGGAUCGUGGAAUUCCAUGUGUAGCGGUGAAAUGCGUAGAUAUAUGGAGGAACACCAGUGGCGAAGGCGACGAUCUGGCGCAUAACUGACGCUCAGUCCCGAAAGCGUGGGGAGCAAAUAGGAUUAGAUACCCUAGUAGUCCACGCCGUAAACGAUGA